AUGUGCCGCUUCAGCUUUUGCUUCUUUCUGCAGUUUAAGGUGUUUGCUGGUGUGGAGCUUAAGAUGGGUCGCUUUUAUGCUCAGGUUUUUGUUGAUACUUGUGAUGGUAGCACUGCUUGUAGUGGUACGGUGUUGCCCACGGCCAUGUGCCUGCCAGCAGCCCGCGGAGGUUCACUGCACGUUCCGCUCUUUAAUCGCGGUGCCUGCUGGCGUGCCCAAACAGGUGGAGCGGAUGAAUUUGGGGUUUAAUACUAUACAUAGAAUAACUUACAGCUCUUUCGCUGGGUUACGAAAACUGGAGCUUCUUUUUAAUGCAUGGCAAUGAUGUGCAUCAAAUUCCUGAUGGAACAUUCCAUGACCUCAUAUCCCUUCAGGUACUGUCAACUUUUUAUUUCUGUACUUUUUGUUGUUGUUGUUGUACUACUGUUCACAAUAAGACUUUCUAUGACUAUUUAUGGAACAACUAUUUGCAAUGAAAUGACACUUAGAGUUAAAAUUACCUCUUUCUUCGCAGAUGCUGAAACUAAGACUAUAAUAAACUGAAGGUAAUUAGCAGACAGACCCUUGUGGGUCUCUGGAGUCUCACUAGGUUGCACCUGGAUCACAACAGACUUGAGUUCAUCCACCCCAAUGCAUUCCAAGGCCUCACGUCUCUUCGCCUUCUCCAACUGGAGGGCAAUCAACUUCAGCAGCUCCACCCAGCCACCUUCUCCACUUUCUCUAUUCUUGGACACUUCCCAGUUUCCACCCUGAAACACCUGUACCUGUCUGAUAAUUUACUGACCACUUUGUCACAGAGGAUGCUAGCAGGCAUGCCCUACCUGGAGAAUCUCUUCCUGCAUGGGAACCCUUGGACCUGUGACUGUCGCAUGAGGUGGUUCAAAGACUGGAAUAAAAAUUCACCAGGUAAUUAUCAUAAUUUUUGACAAUCAUGUUGCCGUUAACAUAAACAAUGAUAUUGUAUCAGUUCAAAGGGAAAAUGUAGUAGAAAUCAUGAACUGUAAUUAUCAUCUGCAUGGGAUGUUUAUGGUUAUACUGAACUCAUAUUAGUAAAAUUAGUUGUAGAACUGUUUCCAAUGCUUAUCACUUUAUUUUAUCUUGAUGAAUUUCCACUUACUGUACUUCGACCACCUCCCUUUCUUUUCCAGGAGUGCUGAAAUGUAAAAAGGACAAAGCCUAUC
rnacentral:lncRNA from 1 species